AAAUACGAUUAAAAUCGAUAACAAUAUUGACAAGGCUAGACGAGUUUAAAACAUAAAAUGUUUUAUUAAGGUGUUAAUUCGUUUCUAAAUAGCCGUGUAUAAAUCUUUCGACUUUAACAGCUAAAAUGGCAGUUAAAAGUAUUUACAUAGCUUUGAUAAUACUUUUAACUCUGAAUGUGACCGUAGAUACAUUUUUUGUUGAUCUAGAUUUUGAAGAUUUUGAAGAUCGGAUAGUGAAACCAAUGACAGCAAAAGCGUUUUGUCCGGACAAUGAUCAAGCUGUGAAUAGUAAAUGGCGCUUGGAUGUGAAAAAUAAUGUCAUGAGAUGUAUCCUUGACUGCAAUAAAGGGUACAGUCCAAAUGGAUGUCACGUUAUCAGGAAAGAUGUAAAUGGCAAAUGGAAGAAGAAUAUCCCAACAUGUGAAAAAGAUAAGUUCUUAAUGUUCGAGGAGAACAUUUAUCUAAAUAGAAAUGAUUAAAUAAAUAAAUAAAUAAAUGUGUACACAAGAACCGCAGUAGUCGUGGAGCUAUCAAAUAAAUUCUAUAUACAUCAUUCACAUGAUCAAACAUACAUGUUGAUAUAAAACACCUCAAUAUUUUCAAUUUAAACGUUUUUGAUUUCGUUUUGGUAAGUGUAUUUUUUGUCUUAUUUGACUCAUAUCAUAAUACUUUGUUUGUUUGUCUAGACUUUAUGCCUAUUUCACACAUCUUUUGGUCAAAAGUCGGUGAACAGUCACCCUUACCGGCUUUCCUUGAUAAUUAACCAAUAAUUGCCAUUUUCUCCGUAUACCUGUACGAAUACCAGAGGAUUCGAGGAUUCCUAAAUCAGCGAUGGAGAGAAAUGACCGUAAAUCUCUAUGUUCGACAUAAGUUGUCACGAAAAAAAGUCACAUCAUCCCAGGAUCGAACCGGCCACAUGUUGUUGCAAAUCAUAAGUUGUCCCUAAUAAGUUCCGCGCAUGAACUUUUUUCACAUUGAUUAUUAGAUUUUUAAGCAUAUGUAUUACAGAUGAAGGAUUAAGUAAAAAGAAACUAGCAUGUUACGCAGCGAUAGGUGGGGCUAUAGCCGCAUCUCCUUAUAUUCUCAGUGCUCUAGGAUUCGGCUCUGCUGGAAUAGUAGCUGGUUCAAUAGCAGCUAAAUGGAUGUCCUAUAUCGGGGUUGUUAGUAAGGGUAGUUUAUUUGCGUGGUUACAAAGUGUCGGCAUGAAAGGUAUAGAUCUAAGCCCAGAAGCGACGAAACAACUGUUUGAUUCUAUCGGUGAUGUUUGUGUUGGGGUCAUAGACAUAUUCUCAGAUUGUGAAUCGGAAUAAAAACUACCAACAAAAAACCUUGAACAAUUCUUGUAGUUGUUUGUUAAUCAAACUUAUAGUUUUCGAUAUUUUUUCUUCAAAACGUUGAUGGAAAUUAAAAUUUAGAACAAUUUACGGAAAAAACAUGUUUUAUAUUCUGAAUUUAUACAACAGAAAAGGGUUUCUGUUCUUACAUAAUAGUGAUUCUGAUAAUGUUAUAUAUAGGUGUAAUUUGUACAUAGAACAUAAUUACAUACAAUCAUUAAAACACUUCGUUUU